UACUGACUAACUAGUCCAACCAACAAGAAUCAAUAAUCCAAAAAUAACCCUAAAUGAACUACAAAAUUAAUAAAAUAAAACAUUUUAUACCCUUAGUAAGAGCGACUGAAAAGGAACUAUAGGAACAAUAAAUAUCAGUACCGCAAGGGAAAGUUGAAAUAGAUAUGAAAAAGCCCAGUGAAGAAAAAUAAAGCAGAGAUUAAACCUCGUACCUUUUGCAUCAUGAUUUAACAAGAAAAACUUAGGCGAGAAGACUCUUAGUCUAAGACCCCGAAACUAAGUGAGCUACUUCAAGCCAGCAUAUUUAUUCAGUGCCAACCCGUCUCUGUUGCAAAAGAGUGGGAAGAGCUUUAAGUAGAGGUGAUAAGCCUAUCGAACUUAGUUAUAGCUGGUUUUCUGAGAACUGAAUAUAAGUUCAGCCUCUAAGCUUCUUAUCACAAACAACUAAUCAUAUAAAUUAUCAUCAAUCCGGUCAAAAAGAAGUUUAGAGAGUUAAUCAAAGGGGGGACAGCCCCUUUGAACAAGCAACAACUUUAAUUAGUUGGUUAAAGAUCAAAAUAUUAAAGGUAGAUUUACUUACGUGGGCCCGAAAGCAGCCACCCCUUAAGAAAGCGUUAAAGCUCAAGAAACACUACCACUAACAAUAACGAUAAAAAACUCUCACCCCACUACAAACCUAUCAGAAUAUCUUAUACACCUAUAAGAGAAAUUAUGCUAAAAUUAGUAAUAAGAGGUAAGACCCUCUCCAUACAUAAGUGUAACUCGAAACGGACUAACCCCCGAGAAAUAACGACCCCAAUAAAAGAGGGACUAGGAAAGAAAAUAAAAAACUAGAAACACCUCCAACUACUAUCGUUAACCCCACACUGGAAUGUAAUUAAGGAAAGAUUAAAAGAAAAAGAAGGAACUCGGCAAACACAAGCCUCGCCUGUUUACCAAAAACACCGCCUCUUGAACUAUAAAAAUAAGAGGUCAUACCUGCCCAGUGAUAUUUAUUAAACGGCCGCGGUAUUUUGACCGUGCAAAGGUAGCGUAAUCACUUGUCCCUUAAAUGGGGACCCGUAUGAAUGGUCUAACGAGGGCUUAACUGUCUCCUUUUUCUAAUCAAUGAAAUUGAUCUCUUCGUGCAAAAGCGAAGAUUACUAUAUAAGACGAGAAGACCCUGUGGAGCUUAAGAUUAUUUUGUAGACUAUGCCUAAUAACCUUCACAAAAGAAUUAAAGCUCAAAGCUUACUUCAAAAAAUCUUCAGUUGGGGCGACUACGGAGUAUAUAAAACCUCCGAGAAGACUGAGAAUAUGCUUUCUCAAAACCUAGAACCACCCUCCAAAGUAACAGAAAAUCUGACUUUAAUUGAUCCAAAUACUUGAUCAACGAACCAAGUUACCCCAGGGAUAACAGCGCAAUCCUCUUUCAGAGUCCCUAUCGACAAGAGGGUUUACGACCUCGAUGUUGGAUCAAGACAUCCUGAUGGUGCAGCCGCUAUCAAGGGUUCGUUUGUUCAACGAUUAAAGUCUUACGUGAUCUGAGUUCAGACCGGAGUAAUCCAGGUCAGUUUCUAUCUAUAAAAUGUUCUUUUCUAGUACGAAAGGACCGAAAAGAAAAGGCCUAUACUAUUAGUACGCCUUACUUUAACUUAAUGAAAUCAACUCAAGAAAAUAAAAAAGCAUAAAAUAUGUAACUCAAGAAAAAAGUG
rnacentral:rRNA from 1 species